UUAAGGUCUUUCCUCUACAAAGGAAAGACCUUAUUGUUUUUCUUCCGUUUUUUCUUUUUCUUUUUUUUCUUCCAACAUUUUUUUGACAUGCCCGCCUCUUGUUUCUGUUGAAGUUAUAAAGACCAAAUAUGGACCAUCGGUAGACCUCAUCAAGAUGUAUUACCAAAUGACCCUGUUAAGGAUUUCAUCAUCCCCUUUAGGAAGUUAUCUCCCUUUUAUUGAUUUUUUUCAACAUGGCCCCCCCCUCGUUGGUUUUAAAGAUAUCAUGACCUUAUUUGGACAUAAUGUAGAUCUCAUCAUGAUGUAUUACCAUGUGAGGCUGAAUAGGAUUUCAUUCUGCCCUAUGAGAGUUAUAUCCCCUUGAAACAAUUUCUUUCCUUUGCAUUUUUCUCAAAAAGUAUAAGAGAUAGAAUCGAUUUGAAAACGGCAACAUGUACAGGAACAGAUGGCAAUGUUAAUGAACAUAUACAAUCAUUUUGUUAUUAACCCUUAUAAGGAGUUAUUCCCCUUGAAAAAAUGAACAUGAUUUUAGAAAAAUUGUAUUUCGAGAACCGGAAGUCGUAGAGACUUGGGACCUUCACCAAUAAUCUUUAAUUCAUGUGACCUUUAAUAUGCACCCAAGGUCAAAGGUCACUGAGUGCAAAAAAAAAUUACGCUGCAAUUUCAAGCUUACAUAUUAGGAAAACGAUAAGACUUUGCUGCAU
rnacentral:lncRNA from 1 species